rnacentral:rRNA from 1 species
UACGUAGGGUGCGAGCGUUAAUCGGAAUUACUGGGCGUAAAGCGUGCGCAGGCGGUUCGUUAAGUCAGAUGUGAAAUCCCUCGGCUUAACCGGGGAACUGCGUCUGAUACUGGAUGGCUUGAGUUUGGGAGAGGGAUGCGGAAUUCCAGGUGUAGCGGUGAAAUGCGUAGAUAUCUGGAGGAACACCGGUGGCGAAGGCGGCAUCCUGGACCAACACUGACGCUGAGUGAGCGAAAGCCAGGGGAGCAAACGGG